rnacentral:rRNA from 1 species
GCUUACGGCCAUACCAACCUGGCUAUGACCGAUCUCGUUUGAUCUCGGAAGCUAAGCAGGUUUGGGCCUGGUUAGUACUUGGAUGGGAGACCGCCUGGGAAUACCAGGUGCUGUAAGCU